UGAGGAAUAUUGGUCAAUGGACGCAAGUCUGAACCAGCCAUGCCGCGUGAAGGAUGAAGGCGUUCUGCGUUGUAAACUUCUUUUACCAGGGAAGAAACCUGAUUUUUCUAAAUCAGCCGACGGUACCUGGGGAAUAAGCACCGGCUAACUUCCGUGC
rnacentral:rRNA from 1 species